GGAGAGGUGGCCGAGUGGUCGAAGGCGCUUGACUCGAAAUCAAGUGUAGGUCCGCCUACCGUGGGUUCGAAUCCCACCCUCUCCGCCA
rnacentral:tRNA from 1 species